GCCGGGGUGGCGGAACUGGCAUUCGCGGCGGCCUCAAAAGCCGCUGGGCCGCAAGGUCCGUGCGGGUUCGACUCCCGCCCCCGGCACCA
rnacentral:tRNA from 1 species